ensembl:snRNA U6 U6 spliceosomal RNA
CUGCUUACUUCAGCAGCACAUACACUAAAAUUGGAACCAUACAGAGAAGAUUAGCACGGUCCCUGUGCAAGGAUGGCACGCAAACUCUUGACGCAUUCCAUAUUUUU